rnacentral:rRNA from 1 species
UACGUAGGGUGCAAGCGUUAAUCGGAAUUACUGGGCGUAAAGCGUGCGCAGGCGGUUCGCUAAGACAGAUGUGAAAUCCCCGGGCUUAACCUGGGAACUGCAUUUGUGACUGGCGGGCUAGAGUAUGGGCAGAGGGGGGUAGAAUUCCACGUGUAGCAGUGAAAUGCGUAGAGAUGUGGAGGAAUACCGAUGGCGAAGGCCAGCCCCCUAGGCCAAUACUGACGCUCAUGCACGAAAGCGUGGGGAGCAAACAGG